UGUGAACAUUUCUAUUAACCGCGAGUAAUUGAUAAGUGCCCUUGUAGUCUUCAACUUGUUUCUUCCCUAAUGUUUUAAUCUUUCACUCUCUCAUUUCUCUCAGGCGAUUCUCAUAUAUUUUAAUACUUACUUUGCUAUAUAGGUAUUUCAAGCACAACAAUUUCUCAAGUUUUAUCCGCCAGGUGUGUGUGUAUUCAUCAACCACGGGAGUUGUGAAAGACGUUCCCAAUUUUCGUGAUUGGGUAGAAAAGUUAUUGAUGAAGCUCAUCAAACUCAAAAUUUUCCUUCUCCCGUGGCCGAAGCUUCCGUGAAUGUUGAAGUCGAUACGGGUAUCCCAACUAUUUCAUGCCUAGUCGAGCAUGUUGCUAUAAGUCAAGUUGAGCCCGCAACCGUUGAUACUCCUGCCCAAGUUGAGCUCGUUGCUGGUGAUGCUCCUGCUUCAGUAUCUUCAACUUAUCAGUGACUAGCUUUAGUUGUUUGAAUAUUUUUGUUUUGGUUUUAUUCAGAAAAUUGUGAUCAAACCCUUGGUUUCAUUUGAGGGUUUAUUUUGAAAACGCAAGUCCCCAGACCUUUUCAUGGGGCAAUUUGUAUAAACAAUUCGUAGCUUUACAACUAAGUUCGUACUUAGUCUUAAGUUUUUUUAAAAAAAAUAUUAAUAAGUAUUGUUGUUA